rnacentral:rRNA from 1 species
CCUACGGGUGGCUGCAGUGAGGAAUAUUGGUCAAUGGCCGCAGGGCUGAACCAGCCAAGUCGCGUGAGGGAUGACGGUCCUAUGGAUUGUAAACCUCUUUUGUCAGGGAGCAAAGGGCGCCACGUGUGGUGUUUUGCGAGUACCUGAAGAAAAAGCAUCGGCUAACUCCGUGCCAGCAGCCGCGGUACUACGGAGGAUGCGAGCGUUAUCCGGAUUUAUGGGGUUUAAAGGGUGCGCAGGCGGACUGUUAAGUCAGCGGUAAAAUUUCGGGGCUCAACCCCGUCGUGCCGUUGAAACUGGCGUACUUGAGUGAGCGAGAAGUAAGCGGAAUGCGUGGUGUAGCGGUGAAAUGCAUAGAUAUCACGAAGAACUCCGAUUGCGAAGGCAGCUUACCGGCGCUCAACUGACGCUCAUGCACGAAAGCGUGGGUAUCGAACAGGAUUAGAUACCCGUGUAGUC